GAUGGCAAGGGUGAGCUAGGAGAUGUAGUUUUUUGACGCUUAGAAGCUAUUGUCACAAACGGGGAAAAAAACUACAUCUCCCGUGAUGCUCCAGCUAAACCGCUGAACAGGCGCACACGCCCACGCCGAGUAAAGCCAUCGCCUGUAAUCCUCACACAGCUCUCAAUCCUCUGCCGUUAUUUUCGGCCCUUUUAAGUUUUGUAUUCUUAAUAUAUCACAUAAAAAUGGACAACUCCGGGAAAGAGAAGGAGGCUAUCCAACUAAUGGCUGACGCUGACAAAAAAAUAAAGUCUUCGGGCUCCUUUUUGGGCGGGAUGUUUGGAGGAGGCCACCACAAAGUGGAAGAAGCCUGCGAGAUGUACUGCAGAGCGGCCAACAUGUUCAAGAUGGCCAAGAACUGGAGCGCCGCCGGAGGAGCAUUUUGCAAGGCCGCACAUCUCCACAUGCAGCUGCAGAACAAACACGACUGCGCCACCAGCUUCAUCGAUGCCGGGAACGCUUACAAGAAGUCCGAUCCCAACGAGGCAAUCAAGUGUUUAAAUGCCUCCAUCGACAUAUACACUGACAUGGGAAGAUUCACCAUCGCAGCCAAGCACCACAUCAGCAUUGCCGAGAUCUACGAGUCAGAUCUGGUGGAUAUAGAGAAGGCCAUCGCACAUUACGAGCAAGCGGCAGACUACUACAAGGGAGAGGAAUCAAACAGUUCUGCCAACAAGUGUCUGCUGAAGGUGGGGGCCUACUGUGCUCAGCUGGAGCAGUACCCGAAGGCCAUUGAGAUCUAUGAGCAGGUCGGAGCCAACACCAUGGACAACCCUCUGCUCAAGUACAGCGCCAAAGAGUAUUUCUUCAAAGCGUCUCUCUGUCAUUUCAUCGUGGACGAGCUGAAUGCCAAGAUCGCUGUGGAAAAAUACGAGGAGAUGUUCCCGGCGUUCUCCGACUCCAGAGAGUGCAAACUCUUGAAGAAACUUCUGGAGGCCCAUGAGGAACAGAACAGCGAGGCCUUCACAGACGCGGUAAAGGAGUUUGACUCCAUCUCUCGCCUGGACCAGUGGCACACCACGCUCCUGCUGCGCAUCAAAAAGACCAUCCAGGGUGACGAGGGCGACCUCAAAUAAGACCUGUCUUCAGUGGAGACACGGACAGGACCAAUCAAUCAAUCAAUCGUCACGCAUGGUUCCACACACACACACACACACACACACUCUUCCAAUGCGCGCUGCUUUACUGUAACACUCUGCUUCCCUUAAAACGGGCGUUUGGCAAUCUAGUUGGAACGUAAAGCGUCUUCUAGGACGUCUUUUUCACUACCAUCUGUCCUCCUGGGAGGAGCCAGUCAUGUCGACCAGAGCAUGUUUACGUUUAUGUUUAGUCUCCAUGCAGUUUCUUCAGUGAGCAUCCCAGGAAGGUAACCGUUAGACGUGCACUAAGACUGUUAAAGCCACUCAUUCCUUCCUCAGGAUUCCUUUUGGGGACAUUUUCUUUCUUGUGAUUACUUUGAAUUCUUCUAGUUUGAAUGUUGGUUAGGACGCAAAGUUGGGCGCCGCCCCUCGCUACUAAGCAUGCAACCCCACCCCCCGCCCCAUGUGUCGCCGGCGUGGUGAGCCGCAUCCAAAGUAUCCAGCUGCUUCCAGCAUCUUUGAUUUUCUUUUCCUGGAUCCAACAUGGUUUCCUCCUUGGUCCAUCCUUCCCAAUCCCGCUACAAAGUGUCAUGGAAGAGCACUUUGUAAACAACAGACCAUGUCAAAAAACGAAAUUGAUACAACCAUCAAAAGGUUGGCUCAGGCCAUGAUGCCAGGUUGUAUGUUGAGUUUAAAGGAAAUACUUUGGAAAGAUUGUGUGGGCCGUAUUCAAACACUUGGCGGGCCGGAUGUGGCCCCCGGGCCGUAGUUUGCCCACCCCUGUUCUAACAUCAUCUUGAGCUCCACAGCUCCCCCUGCAGUAUAUAUGUCACCAUGGCAACAUUAGGUCGAAUGGGCUGUGCUCGGGCAUAUACAAAUUGACCAAAUUUGUGUUCAUCACCAUAAAUAACCUUCCAUUAAAUAGCCACCUUUUGUGUUUCUUUUAUUUCUAUUCAUGUGCAAGUGGAACAUUUCAGUUAGCUGGUAGUUAAAUAGCUAAUACAGCAUGUGUUCACUAUCACAGCCUUGAAUGAUGGGAACAAUCACCACAAGAAAAAGGAUGCUUUUUUUUCCCCCCACUAUUUUCUACGACUUCAUAUCGUCCAAAGGCUUGUCUGCUAUCUUUUGCACGUCAUCACACGUGUUG